GACGAACGCUGGCGGCGUGCUUAACACAUGCAAGUCGAACGCUGAAGCUCAGCUUUUGUUGGGUGGAUGAGUGGCGAACGGGUGAGUAACACGUUAGUAACCUGCCCCCUUCUUUGGGAUAACGCCCGGAAACGGGUGCUAAUACUGGAUAUUCACUGGUCUUCGCAUGGGGGUUGGUGGAAAGGGUUUUUCUGGUGGGGGAUGGGCUCGCGGCCUAUCAGCUUGUUGGUGGGGUGAUGGCCUACCAAGGCUUUGACGGGUAGCCGGCCUGAGAGGGUGACCGGUCACAUUGGGACUGAGAUACGGCACAGACUCCUACGGGAGGCAGCAGUGGGGAACAUUGCACAAUGGGCGCAAGCCUGAUGCAGCGACGCCGCGUGAGGGAUGGAGGCCUUCGGGUUGUGAACCUCUUUCGCUCAUGGUCAAGCCGCAACAAUGGUUGUGGUGAGGGUAGUGGGUAAAGAAGCGCCGGCUAACUACGUG
rnacentral:rRNA from 1 species